rnacentral:rRNA from 1 species
UACGCAGGGGGCUAGCGUUGUUCGGAAUCACUGGGCGUAAAGGGCGCGUAGGCGGCCGAUCAAGUCGGGGGUGAAAGCCUGUGGCUCAACCACAGAAUUGCCUUCGAUACUGUAGAGCUUGAGACCGGAAGAGGUAAGUGGAACUGCGAGUGUAGAGGUGAAAUUCGUAGAUAUUCGCAAGAACACCGGUGGCGAAGGCGGCUUACUGGUCCGGUUCUGACGCUGAGGCGCGAAAGCGUGGGGAGCAAACAGG